rnacentral:rRNA from 1 species
AUUGAACGCUGGCGGCAGGCCUAACACAUGCAAGUCGAGCGGAUGAAGGGAGCUUGCUCCUGGAUUCAGCGGCGAACGGGUGAGUAAUGCCUAGGAAUCUGCCUGGUAGUGGGGGAUAACGUCCGGAAACGGGCGCUAAUACCGCAUACGUCCUGAGGGAGAAAGUGGGGGAUCUUCGGACCUCACGCUAUCAGAUGAGCCUAGGUCGGAUUAGCUAGUUGGUGGGGUAAAGGCCUACCAAGGCGACGAUCCGUAACUGGUCUGAGAGGAUGAUCAGUCAAACUGGAACUGAGACACGGUCCAGACUCCUACGGGAGGCAGCAGUGGGGAAUAUUGGACAAUGGGCGAAAGCCUGAUCCAGCCAUGCCGCGUGUGUGAAGAAGGUCUUCGGAUUGUAAAGCACUUUAAGUUGGGAGGAAGGGCAGUAAGUUAAUACCUUGCUGUUUUGACGUUACCAACAGAAUAAGCACCGGCUAACUGCGU